GACGAACGCUGGCGGCGUGCUUAACACAUGCAAGUCGAACGGAAAGGCCCUUCGGGGUACUCGAGUGGCGAACGGGUGAGUAACACGUGGGUGAUCUGCCCUGCACUUUGGGAUAAGCCUGGGAAACUGGGUCUAAUACCGAAUAGGACCACGCGCUUCAUGGUGUGUGGUGGAAAGCUUUCGCGGUGUGGGAUGGGCCCGCGGCCUAUCAGCUUGUUGGUGGGGUAAUGGCCUACCAAGGCGACGACGGGUAGCCGGCCUGAGAGGGUGACCGGCCACACUGGGACUGAGAUACGGCCCAGACUCCUACGGGAGGCAGCAGUGGGGAAUAUUGCACAAUGGGCGCAAGCCUGAUGCAGCGACGCCGCGUGAGGGAUGACGGCCUUCGGGUUGUAAACCUCUUUCAAUAGGGACGAAGCGCAAGUGACGAUACCUAUAGAAGAAGCACCGGCCAACUACGUG
rnacentral:rRNA from 1 species